GACGAACGCUGGCGGCGUGCUUAACACAUGCAAGUCGAACGCUGAAGCUCAGCUUUUGUUGGGUGGAUGAGUGGCGAACGGGUGAGUAACACGUGAGUAACCUGCCUCCUUCUUUGGGAUAACGCCCGGAAACGGGUGCUAAUACUGGAUAUUCACUGGUCUUCGCAUGGGGGUUGGUGGAAAGGGGUUUUCUGGUGGGGGAUGGGCUCGCGGCUUAUCAGCUUGUUGGGGGGGUGAUGGCCUACCAAGGCUUUGACGGGUAGGCGGCCUGAGAGGGUGACCGGUCACAUUGGGACUGAGAUACGGCCCAGACUCCUACGGGAGGCAGCAGUGGGGACUAUUGCACAAUGGGCGCAAGCCUGAUGCAGCGACGCCGCGUGAGGGAUGGCGGCCUUCGGGUUGUGAACCUCUUUCGCUUAUGGUCAAGCCGCAACAAUGGUUGUGGUGAGGGUAGUGGGUAAAGAAGCGCCGGCUAACUACGUG
rnacentral:rRNA from 1 species